AUCUGAGGAACUUGACUUUAGUGACUCAUG
rnacentral:piRNA from 1 species